GGGGGGCUGCGUACAGCUCUCUACAACUAUAAUUAACCCGUGUCUCUCUAGGUUUCCUACACCUGGGGGGACUGCGUACAGCUCUCUACAACUAUAAUUAACCCGUGUCUCUCUAGGUUUCCUACACCUGGGGGGGACUGCGUACAGCUCUCUACAACUAUAAUUAACCCGUGUCUCUCUAGGUUUCCUACACCUGGGGGGGCUGCGUACAGCUCUCUACAACUAUAAUUAACCCGUGUCUCUCUAGGUUUCCUACACCUGGGGGGGCUGCGUACAGCUCUCUACAACUAUAAUUAACCCGUGUCUCUCUAGGUUUCCUACACCUGGGGGGACUGCGUACAGCUCUCUACAACUAUAAUUAACCCGUGUCUCUCUAGGUUUCCUACACCUGGGGGGGCUGCGUACAGCUCUCUACAA